rnacentral:rRNA from 1 species
UACGUAGGGUGCAAGCGUUGUCCGGAAUUAUUGGGCGUAAAGAGCUCGUAGGCGGCCUGUCGCGUCGGCUGUGAAAACCCGGGGCUCAACCCCGGGCCUGCAGUCGAUACGGGCAGGCUAGAGUUCGGCAGGGGAGACUGGAAUUCCUGGUGUAGCGGUGAAAUGACGCAGAUAUCAGGAGGAACACCGGUGGCGAAGGCGGGUCUCUGGGCCGAUACUGACGCUGAGGAGCGAAAGCGUGGGGAGCGAACAGG